rnacentral:misc_RNA from 1 species
UUUCCGUAGGUGAACCUGCGGAAGGAUCAUUCAUAAUAAAGUGUUUUAUGGCACUCUUUAAAAAUCCAUAUCCACCUUGUGUGCAAUGUUAGAUCUCGUCAAUCUUGGCGAGAUUUUUAUACAUCAACUCAUUCUUUAACUAAUUUGUCUGAAAAAUAUUAUGAAUACUUAAUUCAAAAUACAACUUUCAACAACGGAUCUCUUGGCUCUC